GACGAACGCUGGCGGCGUGCUUAACACAUGCAAGUCGAACGGAAAGGCCCUGCUUUUGUGGGGUGCUCGAGUGGCGAACGGGUGAGUAACACGUGAGUAACCUGCCCUUGACUUUGGGAUAACUUCAGGAAACUGGGGCUAAUACCGGAUAGGAGCUCCUGCUGCAUGGUGGGGGGUGGAAAGUUUCGGCGGUUGGGGAUGGACUCGCGGCUUAUCAGCUUGUUGGUGGGGUAGUGGCUUACCAAGGCUUUGACGGGUAGCCGGCCUGAGAGGGUGACCGGCCACAUUGCGACUGAGAUACGCCCCAGACUCCUACGGGAGGCAGCAGUGGGGAAUAUUGCACAAUGGGCGGAAGCCUGAUGCAGCAACGCCGCGUGCGGGAUGACGGCCUUCGGGUUGUAAACCGCUUUCGCCUGUGACGAAGCGUGAGUGACGGUAAUGGGUAAAGAAGCACCGGCUAACUACGUG
rnacentral:rRNA from 1 species